UACCAUCUUGUAAUUUAUGUAGCCACUUUAUUUAAUAUCACGAUAAACCACCUAGUGAUAGUUGAUUUAAUUAUUACAUGGUGUUCGGGAGCGUUCUGCCGACCCUCACUUGGGCUGAAGGCCCGACACCAGAAGUGCUGUAUGGGUCCAUUGGGGUGAAGCCCAUGGAGGAGUUAGAGGCGUUCGGGUCGGCGUCCGACCCUAUUGCGUACUGAUCGGGGUCGGGCCUUCGAGUCCUUUGGGCCGAAGCCCAGACCUGACAGUGAGAUAGUUUGGGCCUGUACAGUGGGCCUCCUUGCGUGCAGAGUUGGACGUCCUAAUUGAAAUUAAAUACGGUAACUCCAAAGAUAGUGAUUAGAUUGGAUUCUAUUUGCAUCUUUUAAGGAGAUUAUGUUGGACCCAAGUUAUGGUAACUACCAUAGCUAGGAGUCCUUAACCGACUCGGAAAAGGAUUCUAAGGCAGUGAGAUCAUUAUAAAUACAGGGCCAAGGUUACAAUUAACAGGUAAUACUUACUUUUGAGCACUAAAUACAAUAUCUCCAUUGUUAAACCUUGUGAACGGCCUGUACUUAUUCUCACACCGGAGCUAUCCCCCGGCGGCACAAGCCGUCAAGCUUCUGUGUGAUCUGUUAUUGUGCAGGUUCAGCGCAUGGAUUUUGUGAUUGGACGCGCCGACGAAACUUGGCGUUAACAUUGGCACUAGAAGGAGGGCUUUUUAAUGCUUAAUCAAUCACAGUCAAAUUCUUUUCCGAUCAGAAGCUAUGGCAAGCGUGGAGUAUGCGGUUUCCGACCAGGAAAAAGCCAAAACUCACCAGACCACUCAGGUGAGGGGGUCGUUGAAGGACAGAUUGGGCUCCAGAGUCCAGGAUAAUCAGGUGGAACCGGCUGGCUCUCCCCGUAGGAGACUCUUCCAUGACAGUCAUCAUACCCCCAACCAAGCUAGUCAGGUAGACGAAAGUCACUCUCGAGCACUGGAGGUACGUGGAAAGAGCCGUGGCGAGGGGAGCCGAGAUCAGAGAGAAUUUAUACUACAGAAGAAGAUGCAGCAGAAUAAGGAUGCCAUGAUUGCCCUUCGCCUUCAGCAGGACGAACUCGAACUACAGAUGGCUCAUGUGGUUAGGGAGCAGGAGGCAUCCUCUAAAAGGCGUAGACGUCGUAGCCGGUCUCGGUCACCCCGACGCGGAGAGGGAGAUAGAGAAAGGAGCAGACAUAGAAGCUGAUCGAGGGAUGGCUGAAGCUGACGAAGGAGCCAUUCGACGGAACGACGGUCCGAACGCUCUGGUAGAUCGGAGUUGAGGAGGAGGGACGCGUCUCCCGAAUACGAGAGGGACAUGUGCAAAUUGUCCCCUCGUAAAGAGGAGACCGACCCCCUCGCUCGAAGGGUAGCGGAGUUAGAAAAGUUGUUGUUGGCCAAGAGUUCGUCGAGGGUGCCUUCAGCCUGCAUUGGGUCACCCUUUUCACCAGAUAUCAAUCAGGAGACUACCGACCCCAAAAAGAAGAUGCCCCCGAUGGAGACUUAUGAUGGACUAGGGGACCCGUACGACCAUUCCGAUGGGUAUGACAGGUUGAUGACAUACUAUGGCCAUUCCGAUGCGGCCAAAUGUCACAUGUUCGCGACUACACUGAAAAAGAGUGCCCGCGAAUGGAUGGGAACCUUGGCAACUGGGUCGAUUAACUCUUGGAGCGAUCUUCGGGAAAAGUUUCAUGCUCGUUCGGGAGUAACAAGAGGAGGGGAAAGAUCACAGCCUCACUUAUGCUGGUCAGACAGAAAUCAGAUGAAAGCCUGGGUCAGUACGUGAAAAGAUUUCGAGAGGCUGUGGGAUUGGUGGCGGAGUUAAAUUCCCCACAAGCCUUAGGUUUUUUCACAACCGGAUUAGACAUCGGGAAAUCAAAAAAACUGAUGAAGGAUUUGGUGAUCAACCCUCCGGCAGACUUAACAGAAGCUUUCCAUAAGGCCAAGGGUCACAUAGCGAUUGAGGAAGCGAUGGGAAACUUCAAACCACACUCCCAGUCUUAUGAGAAGUCCAAAGAUCGGGAUAAACAAAGUUAUCAGAAGUUGGACAAUCAGGGGAGGUCGGAUAACUACAGCAAGAAGAGCUAUAAUGGGGGAGGGUCGGGCAGUGGAAGGCCACCCUUCCCAAACAAAAGCGUCAACAAAGUGUACACCGCGCUCAAUACGGAUCGGGCUAAGAUACUGGAGAAGAUGUGGGGUAAACCCUUUUUUGAACCAUACCAAACGAUCCCAAAGCCUGGGAAGAGGGGUCGGAACAAGUAUUGUGCAUAUCACCAGAGUCGGGGGCACACGAUAGAGGAUUGCAACAACUUGAAGGAUCUGAUUGAAAAGAAUGUCCAGAACGGGCAACUGGUGCAGUAUGUCGUUGGCCAAGAAAAUUCGGAAGCACCCCGGGAGGAGAAUAGGGAGCCGACCCAGGAAACACAGUCGCAACCGUACCCACCAGCCUGAGGAGUUAUUGAUGUGAUUUCGGGUGGGUCGAUAGGGCGUGUAACCGGAAGGAAGAGGAGUGGGCAUCUCGAAGCCAUGUUGGCGGUAGCUGGUUCGUCGCCCAGAAAGGAGAGGGCAUAUCCAGGAGUGUCUAUCUCCUUCUCAGACGAAGACUACCCCACCGACCACAUCGAGCGUCAUGACGGAGCUUUGGUGAUAACGGCACAGGUCGGGCCAGUAGACAUGAAAAGGAUGAUGAUCGACAACGGGUCUUCGGUCGACAUACUCUACACACACGCCUACCAGAGGAUGGACUUGGGAGGAAGGAAAAUGGAUCUGGGAGGAAAAGGCCCGUUAUACAGUUUCAGUGGUAACCCGGUGCAUGUGUCGGGUACGAUAGAGCUGCCAGUUAAAUUCGGCACAGCCCCUCUGGAAGUAGAAAUAAUGGAAAAAAAAUUUGUAGUACAAGUGGAUUCGGCCUACAAUGCCAUAUUGGGCAGGCCGACUUUGGCAGCAUUGCAGGUAGUAACAUCUAUACCCCACUUUAAAAUCAAAUUUCCGACACCGAACAGGAUUGGGGAGGUAAAAGGUGAUCUGGAUAUUGCCCGAAGGUGUUAUCGGAAUACUUUGAUUUCCUCAGGGGUCGGGGUCAGCAAGCAAAAACAGACGAUGGCCAUUGAGAUAGAGCCAUUCACUGAGGGCAGUACUGAACCGAUGGCGCUACUGGCAGAGGAGACAGAAGACGUGGAAUUGAUACCGGGGAAUCCGGAAAAACUAAUAAAAAUUGGAGCAGGGUUGACAGAACCAUUACGGACGGGGUUGGUGGAUUUACUUCGGGUAUACGCUGAUAUCUUUGCAUGGGAGCCUAGCGACAUGCCGGGAGUAAGUGAAUCGGUGGCGCUACACAAGCUACAUACAGACCCGAAUAGAAAACCGGUGAUACAAAAGAGGAGGAUCUUCGCCCCGAAAAGAUAGAAGACCAUAGACGAAGAGAUCACGAAGCUGUUGGUGGCGGGGUUCAUCUUCGAGAUUGAUUAUCCCGAAUGGUUGGCAAACGUGGUGCUGGUUCAAAAAUAGAACGGGAAAUGGAGACAUUGCAUCGACUACACCGAUUUAAACAAAGCCUGUCCAAAGGAUUUCUACCCUUUGCCCAACAUAGAUCAGCUAAUCGAUGCGACUUCGGGGUACGGCAUGCUGAGCUUUAUGGAUGCCUUCUCGGGAUAUCACCAGAUCUCAAUGGCCAAAAAGGAUAUCCCGAAGACGAGGUUUAUAACCCAUCGGGCCAUAUAUGCGUACCGAAAGAUGACCUUCGGAUUGCUGAACGCAGGGGCAACUUAUCAGCGGAUGAUGAAUUAUGUGUUCAGAAGGCAGCUGGGCCGUGGUAUGGAAGUAUACGUGGACGACAUGAUCGUGAAGAGCAUGUCAGUCCGGGAUCAUUUGAACGACCUAGAGGAUUGUUUCGAAACAAUAAGAGAGCACAAAUUGAGACUGAACCCGACUAAAUGCACCUUCGGCCUAGGUUCAGGGAAGUUUCUGGGUUACUUGGUUAACAAGAGGGGAAUCGAGGCGAACCCUGAGAAAAUCGCGGCGAUCUUAGACAUGCAAUCUCCAAAGACAUACAAAGAUGUGCAGAGGUUAACUGGCCGAAUUGCUGCCCUUCGGAGAUUCAUGUCAACGUCAGCUGAAAGAUGUCUACCCUUUUUCGACACUCUCAAGGGUCCAAAAAAUGAUAAGAGUUUCUAAUGGAUAUCAGAAUGUGAAGACGCGUUCCAGGGGAUCAAGAGUUAUCUGGGUUCGGCAUCGCUGUUGAUGAAACCAAUCCCUUCGGAACCUUUAUACUUAUAUUUGGCUGUGAGCCUGAUGGCAGUGGGGGCGGCAUUGGUAUGGGAUAAGGGAGGAAAACAAUUCCCAGUAUAUUACGUCAGCCAUGUUCUUCGGGAUGCAGAGACGAGAUAUUCGAACUUGGAAAAGUUUGCCUAUACAUUAAUAAUUGCUAGCAAGAAGCUUAGGCACUAUUUCCAAGGUCAAUUAAUAGUGGUAUACACGGAUCAGCCUUUAAAGAAGAUUCUGCACAAGCCUGAGGUUUCGGGACGGUUGGCCGCUUGGGCAAUGGAGUUGACACAGUUUGCUAUAGAGUAUCAUCCCCGAACAGCAAUCAAAGGGCAGACAUUGGUAGACUUCGUGGUAGAGUGUUCUUUUACGGAGCUGGAUGUAAUCACAGUGGUCAAAACUCAACAAAGGCCGAUCGCAUGGACGUUGUAUGUAGAUGGGUCAUCGACUUCGGACAUCAGUGGAGCAGGAGUUAUUUUGACAAGUCCCGAAGGGUUCAAGGUACAGCAGGCUAUCCGGUUCGGAUUCAAGGCCAUGAAUAACGAAGCAGAGUAUGAGGCCAUACUGGCAGGAAUACGGUUGGCUCGGAGCUUGGAGGUACAGAGGUUGGUUAUCUAUAGCGAUUCACAGCUGGUGGUCAAGCAGUUAUCGGGCGAGUAUGAGGCUCGGGGGGCAAGGAUGUCAAAAUAUCUGGCAGAAGUAAAUGACAAACUGAUGUACUUCACAUCACAUAGUUGUCAGGGGGUGGACCGGUCAGAUAACGCAAUAGCAGAUGCACUGGCGAGGUUGGCAACUACUGAAGCAAGCUCUUUUAAUGGAUCAGUUUACCUGGAGGUUUUGGAGACGCCCAGCGUUCCAAAGACAGAAAUUCUAAUUUUAGACCGACUCAAUUGCUGGCUCACACCUUACAUCUCAUAUCUGGCCGAGGGGACUCUCCCUUCGGACCGGAUUCUAGCAAGACAAAUCAAACAUAGGAGUGCAAACUUCGUACUUAUCGACGGAGACCUAUAUCGAAGGGCUUUUAGCUCUCCACUGCUCAAGUGCUUGACCCCAUCUGAAGCCGAGUAUACACUUCGGGAGGUACACAAAGGGAUCUGUGGAGAUCACAUGGGGGCGAAGUCGCUGGCACAUAAGAUCUUAAGGCAGGGGUAUUACUGGCCGACCAUUUACACUGAAGCUAAGGAAUUUGUUAGGAGGUGUCCUAAGUGUCAGUUGAACAGCAAUAUCCCGUAUCGACCACCUGAAGAACUAUAUUCGGUCUUGUCCCCAAUCCCUUUUGCUGUAUGGGGAAUCGACAUCCUGGGGCCUCUACCGAAAGCUAAGGGGAAAGUUAGCUUUGUUAUCGUAGCUAUUGAUUAUAUGACGAAGUGGGUCGAAGCCAAGCCACUGCAAAAAAUCACUGAACAUGAAUGUUUGAAGUUUUUCAAAGAAGGAGUGGUCUAUCGUUUCGGUAUCCCAAGGGCUGUGGUGUCAGACAAUGGCAGACAAUUUGUGGGGUCGAAAUUUUAAACCUUUCUGAAAGAGCUAGGGAUUCAGCAUCGCAAGACCUCGGUUGCUCACCCUCAGUUGAAUGGUUAAGUGGAAGUGACUAAUCGAACCCUUCUCAAUGGGAUAAAACGGAGGCUGGAUGAGUUAAAGGGUCGGUGGCCCGAAGAGCUACUAUCUGUUUUAUGGGUGUAUCGGACUACUCCGAGGACUACAACUGGGGACUCUCCAUUCAGACUGGCAUACAGGACCGAUGCCCUCAUUCCUGUUGAGAUCGGAUCCCCCACCCUUCGAGUCAGCCAGUAAAAAGAGCUAUACAAUGAUGUAGGCUUAAAAACAAAUAUGGAUUUGCUAGAUGAAGUUCGGGACUCAGCUAUGAUGAGGUUGGCAAUCUAUCAGCAGCGAACAGCCUGACACUAUAAUCAGAAGGUGAAGUUGAGGAGGUUUGAGGUUGGAGAUUUAGUCCUCCAGGAGUCGGAGGCAUCAACCCCCCAGAACAUUGGCAAGUUGAUGCCUAACUGGGAGGGACCUUAUGAAGUGAUAGAGGUGCCGAAGCCAGGUACAUACCGGCUUCGAGUAAUGGACGGUUCGGAGGUAAAGAAUACAUGGCAUGCUGGAAGACUUAGAAAAUAUUACCAAUGAUAGUUAUGUUGUUCUUACUUUUUUAUCCAUGUAACCUCCUCAGUUAAAAUUGAAUAAAUGAAAGUUUUUGUUGCAUGUUUAACUUCAUCUAUGUUCAUAUAUUUAUUACUACUCGAAUGGAUGCAUUUCGGGCACUAUCCGAUCAAGAGGUUUGGAAAGACACCACUGAUCGAGAUAAGUCCCGAGCAUAACUGACCGAGAGUUCAAUAUAUUCUCAAAAUACAGGUCUCGGGCACUAUCCGAUCAAGAGGUUCGGAAAGACUAUGACUUAUCACGAUAAGUUUCGUACCCUUCUCCGAAUUGGGCCAUGACUUUGUCGUUCAAGGCGUCGGAUUCCUCAUAUUCGGUGAUGGCGGUCUGCUUGGCUUCGGCAAGUUCACCCUCCAAAACCUUGACUCUGUCCGUUAAGGCGUUGUUGUCUCGGAUAAGGUACAUCAGUUUAUCAUGCAUAUCGGAGAACUUCUCGGUCAUAGCAUCAAUAGCUUUCUCCCGAUCCUUGACUUCAACCACCAGAUGAUCCCUCUCCUCCAGAAGCUUCUUAUUAUGACCUUCGAGACCGAUGAACUCUUGUAGAAGUAGUUAAUGUUGUUCUUGGAGUUCAUCGGCUCGGCGCUUUGCCUCGGUCGUUUUAUUGCGGGUCUCAGCGUGGAGGUCCCGAUCUUCUUCAGGUCGGCAUUCAGACCCCGAACCUCAGCCUCGAGCAGCUUCACAUCCGUCCUCAGCUGAACUUCUUUGCGGGUCGUUCGUGCUAGAGGGGGAAUGGCUCAGGCCAGGACGGCAUUGGCCUAAAUCAGAGGAAGUAGAUCAAUUGUACAGCAGACAACAUAAAGCAUUGUCAGAAUAAAUUACAAGAUAUGUGAAUUACCUGAGUUUAAGCUCGGACAUAGGCCACCAAGAAUUCUUCGGAGUUGAACCCUUCGAAGCGGCCGUCAUCACCCGAUAACUUGAAGGCAUCGAACAAGUGGAAGGGGAAUACAUCCGAAUUGUUCUUUAGCCAACAGGUGGUCGAAGAUCCGCUCGACGAGCUCGGCUUGGAAUUCGGUGUGGCGGUGUUGAUGGGGUCGGCCUCAAUCAUUUGUUGAUCGGGGAUGGAUGGCAAAGGUGGAUCCUCGAGGCGGGGUCCUUUGGAUUGGGGUUCGAGAGCAGCCUCCUCGAUUUCCUCCGAAUCCUCAACUUGCUCGAUCUGGAUGACUGGUGGAGGGAUCGGCUUCGGGGGAAUGGGAGAGAAGGCCUUGGCAGGAGCUCUCGCCGGAGGCUUCUUGGACUUUUUGAACAGAUCUGCUUUUUUAGAUCGGCUCAUCUUCAAAGCAGCUCUGUUGGAAGAAAGAAGGGUUGGGCCUGUGGUGGACCCCACCGAGAGUUCGAUGAUUAGGACGGUUUCCCCCUCAGCGGCCUCGUCGGUAAUCGGGAGGCGGAUGGGUUCGGGGAUGAUCGGGAGGGGAGUCAGAGUCUCCGAGCUCCCUUCAGGCUUGAAAAUUGUCACUGCGCAAAGGAGAUUAGAUUAGGUAGUGAAAUAUUGAAUGUAAAACUAUGAGUGUUGGAUAGAUCGGGGUUAGAUACUUACAGCCAUGUUUGUACAGCCAGGCUUCGCUGGAUAGAAGUGUCAAACUCCAUUCGGUUUUACUCCACUUCUUGUAAAAUGUUUUGAAGGCGUCGGCUCGGUCCUUCGAGAAUUUAGACACCUUGGCAACAGGGUCGGUUGGAAGCGCCCAUGGGGGGAGGAGGUGCAGGUCGGUUCCCCUAAUGAAGAGCCACUUGUCAUGCCAGCCCUUGUUGCUCGAAGGGGUUUUAACGGGCACGGUUCGGGAGGGCCUUUUGUUUAGUUGUUUUAGCCCUGGUUCUUUCGACCCGGUUAUGGUGAAGAGGGCGAAAAAGAAGUCGAGUCCGGGUGUGAUCCCAAGCUCUUGGCAUACGGCGAUGAAGGCAACAAGAUGAAUAUAGGAAUUUGGCACGAGUUGGGCGAACCCGAUGCCAGCAAAGCAAAGGAAAGAGAAGAUGAAUUCGUGAAGUGGGAACCGAACCCCAUAUUUCAAAAGGUAUAGGGGAACGACCACCCACUCUCCUUCGGGCCUCCAAAACAUUUUUUCUUCGGGUUUUGGAGCCCGAAGUUUGUAUUAUUGUGGGAUGUUGAAAAGGGAUCGGAUGUCAGGGAUCUGAAAAGCUAUGAUAGAAGACGGGGUGUUGAUAUGAGAAAAGUCCGUUGUGGAAUGAUAAGCGUUUCGGAUUUUGGCCUCAACGCUUAUCGGUAGGGGAGAGUUGGUGAUGGUAUCGGAGGGGGCCACUGGUAAGUCAACCAGAACUAGAUCGCCGGCGGUAACAGUGGUGGUAAUUGGCUCAGUAGCCGGAAGGAUGUUGGAAUCAGCCAUUUUGAGUGGAAAUUGGAGGAAAUAGGACACAAAUCUGAAGUUUUGGAAGGAAAUGAACAAGAAUGAGGCUUAAACACUAGUGGAGUAGCAGAAUUUGGUGAAAUAUGAGAGGAAAAUAUGCUCGCCGAAAAUCGCCUUGCCGGAAAAAAUGGAAAGCAGAGAGUUUGAAAGCAAGAAAUCAAUAAAAGUGAUAAUGAGGGGGGAAGUAAAGUUUUUAUAAGAAGUAUGGCACGGGACCCCAGGGCGGCUAUUAAAUGUUUAAGGUGGGUCCAAGCGUAAAAAGACGUGCAACGUUUCAAAUAUCAAAAACCAACCGUUUGGCUUCCCCAGGCAAUUCAUCAUUAGCUGUCGUGACCUUUCGAAUACCUGACCUUUCAAGUCUCCAAUCAUAAGUCACUACAAGAAAAAGGCCUAACAACGACCAACACUAUCAGCGACCGCACAAUCGGUCGCUGAUAUUAGUCACAGCGACCGACAUCUACGACCGAUAUGUAAUCUAGUCGCUAAAUUUUAACAGCGACUGCAUGCGGUCGCUGAUCAGUCGCUAGUAUAAAUUUGCCACCAAAAUUUUGGCUGGAAAUGUUGGCGCCAAGAUUUUGUGCGACCACUUAAUAUCUGCGACCGCAUGCGGUCGCUGAUAAUUCCAUGUUAUUAAAAAUCAACGACCGCAUGCGGUCGCAGAUAGCGAUCGCUGAUCAAAAUUUGUUUUAAUAGAUUCAGUCACUCGCUCGACACAGCAGACGCGAAAAAAAAGAGGGAGCUCAGACCAGCCGGAGAGAAGAGGGAGAAAGGGGGGAGAAGAGAAGAAGGGGAAGAGACGCUGGACGCCACCGGUCCACCGCCACGGGAGGUACUCAGUUUAUAUAUAUAUAUAUAUANNNNNNNNNNNNNNNNNNNNNNNNNNNNNNNNNNNNNNNNNNNNNNNNNNNNNNNNNNNNNNNNNNNNNNNNNNNNNNNNNNNNNNNNNNNNNNNNNNNNNNNNNNNNNNNNNNNNNNNNNNNNNNNNNNNNNNNNNNNNNNNNNNNAUUGUUUAUGAAAUUAUAGUCAAAUCUAUGCCUAUAUGAGAACUAUUAUAUCAAAUUUUUGCAACUAAAGUUUUAAGACAGUAUGGAGUCCUUAUAUUGUCUACACAUAUCAUUUAAAAGGUGUUCCUUAACUUAGUUGUGGUUUGUGUUGUGUAUUGACCAAAUUUCAUGUUUAAAAGCCAUGAAAAGUAAGCUUUAAGUGGCAACUAAGACCUAAGUAUAGAAUUCUCAUACCUGGACCAUGUGGGCAAGUUUCAAUAGUCAUAAUAUGACAUAAGUAAGCUACACAAGCUAAAGAAACCAAGCCUAAACUGUUUUGAGCAUUAAACUUGUGAAAAGUCACAUUUUAAGUCCAAAAUUGGACUGUUUUGGGUGACCUUUAGUGCCUGAUCUUAUAAGACUAUAAUGAACUCAUAUAAAAUUGCUAACUCAUGCUUGUGAUAAUUCCUAAUCAUUGCAAUGACCAAAGCUACUAUUAAAAUCAAGUUAGGAUCUAUUAUCGAGCCUAAAGUGAGCUUUAAUAGGUUAAAUUUGCUAGAUGACCAAGUAAAGUGAGAUGAUGAUAAAAGUAUCCUUAGGAAACUAAAAUACACAUGCUUAGACUAUCCAAGUAGUCAAAAUUUGAGAAAUGGAGAAGUGUAAAAAACAGUUUUUUGUGAAAAAGUGAGAAAACAAGCCAGUUUGAGCCCAAUUUUGAGAAGCUUAAAUGAAAUGAAAAAGAAACCUAAACUUUGAUUAAAUUACCUUGAUGUAUGGAUACAAAAAGAAAAAGAAUUUCGAUACACCAGUUUGUUUUGGCAUGUAUCCUUGUUCAAUUCCCGAAUAUUAUCAUAUAUGAUGCACACUCAUGUUAUAUAUGUACAUAUACAUCUAUAUGUAUUUAUAAGCAUCAUAAAUGGGAUUGAGCUGAAUUGUAAAUCUCUAACAAAGGAAUACAAUAAUUCAUGUCAACAUAGGUACCAUAGAAUCAUGAACCUCUAUUCAGACCGUAGUUGGAUGGCACGACGAAAGUCAAGUGCCUAGAUAGGUGCUAUAGCUGAAUUUAGAGCUGGUUGCCAAGUGUUUUUGGAGUAUGCUUAUAGUCACCCGGAAUGUAUGAAUGGUAAGUCGCAGAUACGAUGUCCAUGUUUGAAGUGUAAGAAUGUAAAUUAUAUGGACAGAGACAUGGUAGACUAUCAUUUACUUGUUUCUGGGUUCAUGAGAAAUUACGAAGAAUGCUGGUGGACACAUGGGCAGAAAAGAGAUGGUGGCAUCACACAAGUACACAAUUCGGGCAGUAGUACUCAUCGUAUGAAUGAAAUGGUUCAUGAUAUUGCAGGGCCAGAUUUUGAUUGGGAGCAAGGCAGAGAGCAACCUAUGAAUUCUGAUGCCAAAGACUUCUUUAAGUUGUUAGACGAGGGUAGCGAGCAAUUGUGGCAUGAUUGCACCAAACACACUACAUUGUCUGCAGUGGCGACAUUACUUAACAUCAAGGCUGAUCACAACAUGAGCCAUGAGUAUUUUGAGUCGCUCUUGAAGGACAUUAAGAGUAUGUUGUCUGACGGUGAGAAAUUACCUGGUAACUAUUACUUUUGUAAGAAAAUGGUGAAGAAGUUGGGUCUUGGAUACCAAAAGAUCGAUGCACAAGCCGUCAAGCUUCUGUGUGAUCUGUUAUUGUACAGGUUCAACGCAUGGAUUCUGUGAUUGGAUGCGCCGACGAAAUUUGGCGUUAACACAUGAUAAUAAUUAACAAUCAUUAGCUGUUAGUCGAUUUAUUUAUUACAUACUAAUAACCAUCAUCAGUCGGGCUUGAUGGCUGAUGUUAAUAUGAAAGUUACAUAUUAAUAAGAACACCAUAGACGACUAAACCUUUCUUGGAAGUCGUGCUUUCAGUCCCUGACAUAGCAAAAUUGAUAUCUCCAAAAUUAUCCUUGUUGAAGAAAUUACCAGCAUUGAUCCAAAUCUUUUUGUUGGUCGGAUAAUUCAUCAAAUUUUCUUUGUGCUUUUGCACGGAUCCAUUCGAAAGAGUAAGUGUAAAUUCCACCGGUGAUGAUAUGUUAAAGUCAUUUGAAAGCAUCAGCUCAAAAUACACGUCAUAAGAUCCUCCUUCAAGCUUUUCUGUCGAAUAUUCUCCAUCAACUUGUAGGACUUUUGCUUUCCUUUAAUUCAGCUCUUCCCUGACUGUAAAAAAAUGAUAGUACGUAGAAUUAAAUUUCUUGGGUGACUUUAUUUAUUUAUUUUCUGGAACAUUUUUAAUGCAAGUACAUGCAAUUUAAUGACAUAAUUGGAAAUAAAUCCCUAUUUUUAACUGAAUAUGAAAUACUCCCUCCGUUCCUUAAUAUAGGUAGUUUUAGAAAAAUAUUUUAGAAAAAAUGUUUUUUUUUCAUAAAUAUAAGUCGUUUGAGAAUUUCAAGUAAGCAUUAAUUGCUUAGUUUCCAAAAUUAUCCCAAGUAAUAAAUAUAAUUUUGGUUCUCUCACUAUUUUUUAACCAAUAAAUAACACUAUUUUUCCAAUACAAAGGUAAUAUAGACAAUUAAUAGUAUAUUUAAUGUUUUAUAAUCAUUUUAUUAAUACUUGUGCACAACUCUAAAACGACCUAUAUUAAAAAACGGAAGGAGUACAAAUCUUGACCAUUGACUUUAAUUAGGUUAACUAAACCUUAUUUCUAAAUUCUACUUACAUAAAAUUCCAGCUACUACGGUUGGCAUAUGUGAGUUCAUUUGCAUGCAGAUAAGCCUCGCGCGCCUGAAUAAGUCAAGAAAAUUAAAUAACGUUAUUAUAAGGAUAUAUAUAUANNNNNNNNNNNNNNNNNNNNNNNNNNNNNNNNNNNNNNNNNNNNNNNNNNNNNNNNNNNNNNNNNNNNNNNNNNNNNNNNNNNNNNNNNNNNNNNNNNNNNNNNNNNNNNNNNNNNNNNNNNNNAAAUAUAGACAAUUGAUAGUACAUUUAAUGUUUUAUAAUCAUUUUAUUAAUACAAAUCUUGACCAUUGACUUUAAUUAGGUUAACUAAACCUUAUUUCUAAAUUCUACUUACAUAAAAUUCCAGCUACUACGGUUGGCAUAUGUGAGUUCAUUUGCAUGCAGAUAAGCCUCGCGCGCCUGAAUAAGUCAAGAAAAUUAAAUAACGUUAUUAUAAGGAUUUAUAUAUAUAUAUAUAUGAUGUUUGUUUACCUUCUCGUCCCCCUGGUUCCCCACUUUUUGGAGCAACGGCACCUUUCCGUUUGCCUGAAACAACUUAGCCGGUUGAUAUUGUCAAGUAACAAUUAUAAAAAUGUUGCUAAAUGUUUAUUUCUUGAAAAUAUUGCAUGGCAAAAGUUUAUUAUGGAGUGCAGUCAUUAGACAGAUCCAACCUUAAAAUAUUUUGAACAGUCUAGUCAUUCGGUACAAAAUUUUAAAAAAUCAUGAAGACAGUGUAAGAUGGUGUAAAGUCAUACUUCCAAUAUAUAUAUAUAUAUAUAUAUAUGAUGUUUGUUUCCAAUUUCAGUAGACUUACUUUCUGGUCCGGGUUGUCCUUUCGGAGCAACGCCUUUUCCUUGGCUUGAGACAACAAUGACUCGAGCUCAACCUUAUCAUUCCUCACUGCUUGUGCCAUCUCCUCGAUCGAUGGAUAUAUUUUCUGUUUUUGUUCUUGAUGUCUAUAUAUCUACCUUCCAAAGGCGAGCUCUAUUUAUAGAUGGCACAACAGAUAUUCCAUAAUAAUACCCUAUCUUCAAAUAUUCCAUAAUACCCUAUCUUCAAAUAUUCCUUCCUUUUUUCGCAGUGGGGAUCCUGGAUAAGUUUAACAUCAUGAUCAUCGCGAAGAAGCAUUGAUCAGCAUAUUCUGUUUAAUAAUUUUGUUAGAAUAAUUCUUUUUCAUUUCUAAGUUCAAUAAUUCUUUCUUCAGCUCGUUCCCUGGCAAAGUUUAAUGAAGGCGAAAGGUAUGUAGCCAUCCAAGUAAGUUAAUGAUGAAAUUCUUCUAACUAUAAUAUCAGAGCAAUAAGUAUGCUAUCAGAUCAAUAAGUGCUGCUGAAAAAUAAAAGUAUUGCUUAAACAAGAGUAAGUGUUGCAAAUGUAUAGUUGCUCUGACAGUAUAAUGUUAUCAACAACCAUUAGGUAAUCUAUAUAUAGGACAUUCAGAAAUGAUUAACCCGAUUAUUUACUUAUAUUUGUGCCAUUAUCCGGCAUAAUUAUGUUAGAGUAUAGCUUCCGAUAGCUGAAUUUCCCAGAUUAAAAUGGUCGAGUUCACAAGGCAAUUUUUUAUUUUAUUAUUUAUUGAUUUCUUUGCAUCAGUUGACUCAGAUCUGCAGCUUAGAAAUUCAAUAUUUAUUUGUCACUACCAACAACUUGAGUAUAUAUAUGAGAUAGAAAUUUAGAGACGGAUAAAUUUGUCUCUGAUAGAAUAUAUGUGAUUAUAUUCUCAUUAUUAUUGUAAAUAUUUUAUAUUUAAUUUAGGAUAUUAUUUUGUUGUAAAAUUAUAACGUUUCCUUAUUUUUAGCCUAACUUGUAGGCAUAAUAUUUAUCUAUACUCUGUAUAUAUUACCAAGGGAUGAAUGAGAAAAAGACCAAGGGAUCAUAUUCUUUUAUGGUAUCAGAGCCCUAGUUUUCUUCCUCCCUACCUUCUACCAUCUUCUUCUUCCAUGUAUCAAUGGCUGACUCAAAAAUCCAUCCCGCCACCACCGUCACCAAUAUCAAAACAGCCAUCCCCAUCACUCUCAAUCUCGAAAGUGACCAAUACAACAACUGGGCAACUCUCUUCAAGCUCCAUGCCCGCGCCAACAUCGUCCUUGACCACCUCAUCCCUCCUACGGAAGCUGUCGCCGCCAAGACGGAUGCCGAAACAACGACUUGGAAGAGGAUUGAUGCCAUUGUCACGCAAUGGAUUAAUUUAUAGCACAGUUUCUUUGGAUAUUCUCAACACUAUCAUUGAUCCGAAUGAUAAAGCAAAAGAUGCUUGGAACCGUGUAGCAGAUUUGUUCCAAGACAACAAGAAUACGAGGGCCAUUCACCUUGAAACCCAAUUCACCAACACUCACCUUCGAGACUUUCCCAAUGUUGCUGCAUAUUGCCAGCGACUUAAAGUGUUGGCUAAUCAAUUGGCCAACGUGGGAGCAAAAUUAUCUGACAAGCGCAUGGUUCUCAAAAUGAUUCGUGGCUUGACAGAAGCUUACGCGGGGUUCGUCACCAUCAUUCAACACCGCAGUCCUCUUCCGACCUUUGCACAAGCCCGUUCAAUGCUUUCAUUAGAAGAAGAAAGCAUGAAACAACGUGCCACUCUUGAAUCAGGUUCGGAUUCCGCUUUGCUUAUGAAUUCAACUAAUGAUAAUAUUUUUGGUGGUAAUAAUUCCAAACAGCAGCAAACAAAUAUAAAUGGGCAUAAUAAUUUCGGUAGCCGAAAUUACGGUGGCCGUGGUGGGCGGCUCGGCCACUACCGCGGUGGUCAUGGUGGCCGUAGUGGCAAUCGUGGUGGAUCUCGUGGUGGGGGACAGCAGCGACCUUCAGCACCGUCAUGGCCGCAACAAUGGGCUUCCAUGCCUCCUUGGGCUCCCUGGUCACCUCACACUUGGGCCAGCCCACCUUGCCCAUUUCCCACUACAGGGCAGAUCCGUCCAUCAUCUACAAAAGGAGUUCUUGGGCCUCAACCUUCCCAAGCCCACUACACGGCAGCCGCCCCAAGUGUGAACUACGAACCUACAGACAUUGAUGCAGCUAUGCACACUUUCUCCCUCUAUCAACCGGAUGAAAAUUGGUACAUGGAUACUGGUGCCACCUCCUACAUGACUGCUAAUCAUGGUACUCUCUCGUACUAUUUUAAUUUUAGCAAACAUAAUGGCAUUAUUGUUGGUAAUGGUCAUACAAUUCUGAUUCUUGGUUAUGGAAGUGCCUCACUAACCCAAAUAAAUCCAUCUUUGAAGCUUAAACAUGUGUUGCAUGCACCUCAACUUAUUAAAAACCUCAUCUCAGUUCGCAAAUUUACUAAUAAUAAUAUGGUGUCUGUUGAAUUUGAUCCUUUUGGAUUUUCUGUGAAGGAUUUACAGACGGGGAAGCAACUACUGAGAUGUGAUAGCUCGGGCGAUCUCUAUCCCUUCACCAAACUUCGGAGCCCACCACCUUCAGCUCUACCUUCUGUUUUUCCUGUUAUUUCCUUUGAUUUGUGUAUUCUCGUUUAGGGCACCUUGGAAAUGUCGUUUUGAAUUCUCUUUGUAGUAGCAAUUUUAUUAAAUAUAAUAAGGCUCGUAAUUCUUUUUGUGAAUCUUGUCCUCUUGGAAAACACAUUAAGUUGCCAUUUAAUGAUUCUCGUUCUUUUACAAUUAUGCCAUUUGAUAUAAUUCACAGUGACUUAUGGACAUCUCCUAUAUUAAGUUCAUCUGGUCAUCGUUACUAUGCUCUUUUUCUUGAUAAUUAUAGUAAUUUCUUGUGGACUUUUCCUAUGUCUAGAAAAUCACAAAUUUAUUCCAUUUUUUUUUAUUAUUUAGAGCAUAUAUCAAAACUCAAUUCGAAAAAGAAAUUAAACAAUUUCAAUGUGAUAAUGGCCGCGAGUAUGACAAUGGUCCCUUUAGGAAAUUUUGUGAAUUAAAUGGUAUGUAUUUUCGCUUCUCAUGUCCCCACUCUCCUCAAAAUGGUAAAGCCGAAUGAAAAAUAAAAACUAUCAAUAACAUGGUUCGUACUUUAUUUGCUCAUGCUUCCAUGCCACCCUCCUUUUGGCCUCAUGCUCUCGAAAUGGCAACAUACCUUCUCAAUAUUCUUCCUUCAAAGACAAUAAGCUACUACUCUCCUACUCAAAUUCUUUAUGGAAAAACUCCAAAUUAUACCCAUCUUUGAGUUUUUGGAUGUUUGUGUUACCCUUUAUUUCCUUCCACCACCAUCAAUAAAUUACAAGCCCGUUCGACUCCAUGUGUCUUCUUAGGCUAUCCGUCAAACCAUUGGGGUUAUAAAUGUUAUGAUAUUUCAAAUAAAAAAAUUAUUAUUUCCCGACAUGUUCUUUUUGAUGAAUCUAAAUUUUCUUUUUCGACACUUCAUACUCCCUCUCCUACCUCUUAUGAAUUUUUAGAUGAUGGUUUACAUCCCUAUAUCCUUCAUCAAUUGCAGACACCUACAUCAUUAGAUCUACGGACUCAGCCGCCCACUUCACCUGCUGAGCCUCCCUCUUCGCCGACACAAACAUCCCCCCAGCCCGCGUUGCAACACAGCCCACUCUCCAGCCCACUCGUUCCUCUUUUCCCACUGCCACGCCAACCCCAACAUCCAUUCAACCCGGUCCAAUUUCCACUACAUCCAUUCGACCUCCUCCUCUGGCCCAUCGAAUGGGAACUAGGAGUCAGCAUGGUAUACACAAGCCCAACCCUAAAUACCAUAACUUAAGUGCCCUCUCGACCACUACCUCUAUCUCUCCUAUACCCCACAACCCCAUGAGUGCACUUAAUGACCCGAACUGGAAAUUGGCCAUGUAGGAUGAAUAUGAUUCUCUUAUUCAAAAUAAGACGUAGAAAUUAGUACCUCGUCCAUCUGAUGUUAAUGUUAUUCGUUCAAUGUGGAUUUUUAGACAUAAAAAGAAAUCUGAUGGUACUUUUGAGAGGCAUAAAGCCCGUCUUGUAGGUGAUGGCCGGUCUCAAAAAGCUGGAGUGGACUGUGAUGAGACAUUUUUCCCGGUUGUUAAACCGGCCACUAUUCAUACAGUUUUGAGCAUUGUAGUAUCAAAAUCUUGGACCAUUCAUCAAUUGGAUGUUAAAAAUGUAUUUCUUCAUAGUAAUCUAACUGAAACUGUUUAUAUGUAUCAGCCUUUGGGUUUCAAAAAAUGCAGUCCAUCCUGACUAUGUCUGCUUGUUGAAGAAAUCACUCUAUGGUCUUAAGCAAGCCCCUCGUGCCUAGUAUCAACGCUUUGCAGACUAUGUGGCCACUAUUGGUUUCUCUCACAGUGUGUCAGAUCAUUCCUUGUUCACUACAAAAAUGGAUCUGACAUUGCUUAUAUUUUAUUAUAUGUUGAUGAUAUUCUCACGGCCUCCUCCGAUGCUCUUCGAUUAUCUAUCAUGUCUCUUCUCAUUUCUGAGUUCGCAUUGAAGGAUUUAGGACAAUUGAGUUAUUUUCUGGGUAUUGCAGUCACCUAGACUGCCCAUGGCCUUUUUCUCUCACAGACAAAAUAUGCCGAGGAAAUACUUGAAAGAGCUAGUAUGACAGGUUGCAAGCCAUGUCCCACUCCUGUUGACACAAAGGGGAAACUCAGUGUUUCUACUGGCAAGCCUUAUGAGGAAGUACCCAACUAAAUAUCGCUGUCUAACUGGUUGUGACGCCCCCAAAAUAGGUCCAUUCCAUCCAAUCCAUUCUGAGUUGUCAAAUACAUGGUACAGAAAUAACUACAACUUUAUUAAUACAUUUGUCGUGCAAAAUACGACAACACUUAAACUGUGAAUUUAAAUUACAAAUAUUGUCUUCUAGACAAUAUUCACAACCAAAUAAAUCCUCAUCACAAUUAUUGAUACAUUACUUUAUAAAAAUGGUGAGGACUACUAAAACAACUUCUAGAACCAUCACUCCAUACCCCGACUCGUACUCGCUACAUUCUCGCCUCUUGAGAAGAAAAAUGAAACAACAAGGAAAAGGGUGAGCUCAACUAGCCCAGUAAAGAAUAUUAUGACUAAGAUAAUAUAGAACAAAUUAUCGUUAGUCCUCAACAGGGAAAAAUCUGAUAAAAUACAAUAGACAAUAAGUUUCAGAUCAAUAUUCGCAGCGAAAAUAAUAAUUCCUAGAAGAGUUACGUAGAGAAUGAAAUCUACUAGUAUCUAUGAAUUUAAAAGUCCAUCAUCAAUAUUUUAUCCCUGUAACAUCAAUCAAUAUACAUCUUCAAUCAAAUAUUCAUCUUUGCACUACAGGUCAAAGAUAUUCAUCAGCUGGUCAUGUUCAUCUCAACACUUGUUCAUCUUUGCACUACGGGCCAAAGAUAUUCAUAAGAAAAUCAACCAUCUUUGCACUAUAGGCCAAAGAUAUUCAGUAACAUCAUCAUUUAGGACUGAGGAUGAUGAAAAAUAUUUUUAAAGAAACGAAUCUAGUGAAACAAAAGACAAGGAUUAAGGAUUAAAGAUUCGUAAUUCGGUUUAUCCAUGUCCAAAAAUACCUUAAUAAUAAUCAUAGUGGAGUAAAAUUCAAGAAUGAUCAAAACAUGGAUACAAUCAAAGCUAGUAUCCAUAAUAGAUAUUUUGGACAAAAACGAACAUUUAAUUUUCUGUGAAUAGUGCCGUAUUCGUGAAUAGUGUCGUAUACGUGAAUAGUGUCAUAUAUGUGAAUAGUAACCUCGACACCAAAAGUUUCAAAUUUGAUAAAAACUUCAGAUCAAUAUUUCGGCAUAAUGAUAUUGAAAGAAUAACAUCAUUACGAAAAAAUAACAUCCCUUACCUCAGAAAGAAUAGUACUUCUGACUGGAAUACUAGAUAUAGUGCUGAAAGAACUUACACCGUAUAGCAAUACUCAAAGUACUAAAAUACUCAUAAAAUACGCUCAAUAUUAUAGAGAGAGAAAACUUCAUUAUUCGGUAUAAUUUUCAAUUCUAACCUAAGCACCCUAUUUAUAAGGAAAUGCUUAGAACACCAAAGUAGAAAAUUUAUUAAAUAUUAUUAUAUUUUUUUCAAAAUCUCAUACGCACACUUUUGCCAACUGAAUUCAUCCCCUAUCACAUGUUAAAUGAGAGCCAAAAAAUAAAAAACAUGUUUUAGUAAUUAAAAAUAUUUUAAACUUUUAAAAAUUAAUUAUUUCGGAGCUUCAGAACUUCAAUAAUUCAUAAUAAAUAGCCCUUUUGUCAGAAAAAUUCAAAAUUCGCAACUUUUCAUAGGAAAUUUCAUUAUCUACAACUUUGCAGAAGGAAUUUUUUCCAAAUUCCAAACAGAAAUUGACCGAAAUCCACAAAUAGGCGAUUUUACAGGCUAUAAUCAAAUUUCGGUCAAUAAUUGGGGUCCACCGACACACAAAAUAUGUGUUAAUCAUUUAAUGCCACAAAAAUAAUCUUCCUCCUUAUAUACUCAUAUAUCCCACAUUCAUUGUAAAAAUAUCACCAUUAUUAUAUUAUUAAAUAAUAUAUUUAAAUGAAUUAUUUUAUCAGAAAAAGAUAAAAUAUUAAUUUUCAACAAUUGUCACAUUAAAAAUUUUCUCCAUCUAUAUCCUCAUAAAAUUAAUAUUUUCCUAAUCAUAUAAAUCAAUAAUUAAUUAUUCAUAAAUAAUAUUACAGAAUCACAAUAUUGACAUUAACCAAGCAGUUCCCAGGAAAGAGGGGGCCUUCCGGUAAAGAUUUCUCCUUACUGACGCGCAAUUAAAUAACCUCUCCUUAGACAUAACUUUCUAGACAUUGCCAAUAAUGUUAUCUAAUAAUAUUAUUCAGAUAAUAUGAAUUAUUGCUCCGAUAAUGAAAAAUACUGUGUAGUGACAAUUAUUGAAACAACAGUAAUAAUAAAUAUCAACACAGCAAAUAUUGAAUCAAUAAAAUAAAAUAUUGAACAGUAAUUACUAUAACAAUUAUUGAGUAGUGCCUUCUUACGUAAGAAUCAAUAAUUGGUGCAAUACCGUGUGCUACUGUGCAACAACGCGUAUUACUGUAUUUUAACCACCCGGUAAUCCAACAGUGUUAACGGUAACAACUACACCGUUAUUUAUAAACAACAUAUAUUUGUCAUUUUCUUCAUCCAAUCGCUUUCUAUUAUGGGGUCCACACAAGGCUGCACCGUCGUACGAAUAUUCCCCGACAGUAAAAAUAUUCCACGACUAAACGAAUAUUCCCCGACAACAAUGAAUAUUUUAUAACCACUUGCGCAUUUCACCCAUAAUUAACCACAUUAAUCAAAAUAACCCUUACUAUUUUAAAAUAAUAAAUAGAGAAAAUUUUAUUUUAUUAAUAAAAAGUCGGGGUCUUACAACCUCCCUUCCUUAUGAAAUUUCGUCCUCGAAAUUGACGUACGUACCUGGUGUUUUGAAAAGAUGAGGAUACCUCGCUUUCAUUUCCGUUUCUAACUCCCAGGUCAUUUCCUCUAUAGCAUGGUUCCUCCACAAAACUUUAAAUUGUGGUAUGACCUUCGUACGUAGGACAUGCUCCUUCCUAUCCAAGAUCUUGACAGGUACCUCCUCGUAUGUUAAGUCUUCGGCUAUCUCGUCCGGUUCUAACUCAAUAACGUGGUUCGGGUCAUCCACAUAUUUACGUAACAUCGAUACGUGAAAAACGUUAUAAACACGUGACAUACUUGGCGAUAAAACGAGUCUAUAGGCCACCGUUCCUACUCGAUCGAGGAUUUAAAAUGGACCAAUAAAUGAAGGUUUGAGCUUUCCUCACAUCGCCGAUUCUCGCUUUUGGAAUAACAACUUCUUGCACCUCCUUCUUCAUACGCAUCAGCUUCGGUGUGUAGCUUGAACAACUUUAACUUUAUCGAUUAAAGUCGAUUAUACUCGUAUAUCAUCACGUGGGUACCUAGAGUUUUCAUCUCCAUCUCUAUUAUUUGUAAGUUAUACGAAAUAAGUCUUUGACAAUAUCGUACUCGUACUCGUAUACGAUCUUCUACUCAACACGUCAGCUACCACGUUCGCUUUUCCAAGACGGUAUGGUCAGAACAUGUGCCGAUAUGAGUCUCCUCUUGAGUUCUUCGAAUAUCUUCCCAUAUUCCUUUUUCCAUUCAAACUUUUUAUCUUCUCGAGUUAGCUGCGUUAAUGGAGUAGCGAUUCAAGAAAAUCCUUUCACGAAUCUCCGAUAAUAACCAGCUAAUCCUAGAAAGCUACGUAUUUCGAUUACCGACUUAGGUUGCUCUCAAUUGUGACUCAUAUCCCAAUCUUGGAUAGCACGUCACAAUGACACCUAUCAGUUUACUACCGCACGAAUAUGGCGUCCCCUACGGAGAGUCUGGCUUCGGUGCAUUCAACAAAGGAAGUCACCAAUUAGAGGCUCGGGUAUCAACUUCUACAGUUGGGUUUUUAACUCCUGAAGUUCAAUAUGAGCCAUUCGAUAUGAGAUUUUAGAAAUGGGUUUUGUACCGGGUUCAAAGUCGAUACAAGAUUCAAUAUCACGCUCUGGGAGUAGGCCAGGAAAUUCUUCAGGAAAUACGUCAGGAAAUUCACUAACAGAAAUAUCAUUCAAAUCUGACGUAUUUUUGUUCAAGUCCAUGACAUGGCUAAGAAAACUUGACAUCCAUUUUUCAAUAAACGAAUGACUUUAUGGCUUGAUAUGAAAGUGUUUGAUUUCAAUGGUUUGGUUGCUUGAAUUCGAAUAACAGGUUGCUUAGAAAUAUGAAAACUAACAACCUUACGAAAGCAAUCAAUUUUGGCAUGAUGAGUAGUAAACCUUAAAAUCACAUCAAAAGCAAAUAUCUUUAAAGAAAUAAGGUCAACAGGUAAUGUGAUAGUGCCAACCUGAAUCAAGCAAGAUUUCUAAACAGUGGAUGAAAUAAAAGUUUCUCCUAACGGAGUCUCCACAGAUAGGUCAAAGUCUAAUUUCUCCGUAGUCAAGUUCAAACGUUGAACGCAAGCAAGAGAGAUAAAAGAAUGGGUAGAACCGGUAUCUAAUAAGGUAUAAACUUCGCAAGAAUUUAUAAUUAACUAACCCGUGCUAACUUCGUUCGCGUUCCUCGCAUUCUAACCAGUCACAACAAACGCUCUUCUAGGAACCGUUGACUUUGACUUUUUUGGGACAGCCUUUUGAGUCACCAUCCCUGCUGGACUUGGUUUCGCUACCGUACAAUCGCGAGCGAUAUGUCCUUCCUUUCCACAAUUAUAACAUACCUUGAGCUGUUGUGGGCAGUUUGGACUGAUAUGUCCUUCUUUCCCGCAUUUAUAGCAUAUAACCGGUGGUCGUUCUCCUCCCUUGGAACCAAUUGUUGCUGGCGCUGACGUCGUCACAUGGUCAUUGUUGAAUCUCCUCUUUUUAAAAUCUCCUCUCAACUCGCUUCUUCUAUUCUCAUGGCCGUGAUUACCACCAAAGUGGUUACCAUUUUUGUCCGUCUUUUUCUUUCUCCGCUGGUUAUCGUUAUUCUGUUGACUGCUAUCUCCAGUAUGAUCCUGGUUGUGAUCCCUCGGUUAAUCGUAAUCGUUAUCUCACUCUAACAAUUGAGCCCUGUUGACAACAUCUGAAUAGAGAGAAAAUUUAUGAGAAAUGAGAUAUUGAUGUAUGCCGGGUUUCAAACCUCUCAGAAACAUCCGCGUCAUACGUUCCUCAUUCUCCACUAAAUGAGGUGCAAACCUGGAUAACUCUGAAAACUUUGCCUCGUACUGGGACACCGUUAUGUUGUUUUGUUCCAGUCUAAUGAACUCCACUUCCUUCAUAUGACGAAUACUUUCAGGAAAGUACUUGUCAUUGAAAAGUUUCUGAAACGUCUCCCAAGACAUGCUGAGCGCGGCUGGGUGGGUACGCUUCAUAGAUUCCCACCAGUAAUCUGCCUCAUUACGGAACAUAAAAGUAGCGAAUGGAACCUUUUGUUCCUCCGUGUAUCCCGAGACAUCGAAUAUCUUGGUAAUUUGUUUGACCCACGUCUCCGCCUUAAUCGGAUCCGGCUUUCCCCAGAAUUCUGGUGGUCCCAACUCUUUGAACUGCUUGGCCGUGACAAACCGUGCGUUGUUAUCAUUUCCACCGGUAUUUUUUGCACGAGUCUCCCUCGUCUGAUUUUGCAUGAACUUCAAAAAGCUUCUAAACAUCCCAUCGUUCAUCAUCUGCUCAGUGGUGUUGUUCACAGGAGGAACAUUGCCAGCCUGUUACACGUUCUCCUCGUUAGUGAGUACAGGCGUCUCCACAGUCUCGUUUACUCCACUGUUAACAUUCUCAGUUUCCAUUCUUAAAUACUGCCAUAAAACAAGGGUUAAUUAAACAAAUUAACUAAUCACAUAAUACUCCUAUAUUAUGACCAACCAACAAAUAAGCUUAGGUAUGACACACUAGCAAAGGAUUUACUCGUCUCUCCCCUCCUAGUUCUAUUCCCCGAUCUCCGCCAGAGAUCAUAUCCCUAAGCUCUGAUACCAAUUGUGACGCCCCCAAAAUAGGUCCAUUCCAUCCAACCCAUUCUGAGUUGUCAAAUACAUGGUACAGAAACAACUACAACUUUAUUAAUACAUUUGUCAUGCAAAAUACGACAACACUUAAACUGUGAAUUUAAAUUACAAAUAUUGUCUUCUAGACAAUAUCCACAACCAAAUAAAUCCUCAUCACAAUUAUUGAUACAUUAUUUUAUAAAAAUGGUGAGGACUACUAAAACAACUUCUAGAACCAUCACUCCAUACCCCGACUCGUACUCGCUACAUUCUCGCCUCCUGAAAAGAAAAAUGGAACAACAAGGAAAAGGGUGAGCUCAACUAGCCCAGUAAAGAAUAUUAUGACUAAGAUAAUAUAGAACAAAUUUUCGUUAGUCCUCAACAGGGAAAAAUCUGAUAAAAUACAAUAGGCAAUAAGUUUCAGAUCAAUAUUCGCAGCGGAAAUAAUAAUUCAUAGAAGAGUUACAUAGAGAAUGAAAUCUACUAGUAUCUAUGAAUUUAAAAGUUCAUCAUCAAUAUUUUAUCCCUGUAACUGAAAGUAGUAUGCACACAAGCCAAUCAUGUUUGAUGAUAAAGCAUAUACUUUUUAACAAUCUUAUUCAUUUAUUAAUAAAAAGUAUUAAUUUAUUUAAGGCUUUUAAUUAUCUACAUGAUGCUGUUUUAUAAUAUGUGAUAAACCCAUAGUUUUAAGCAAUGCUUUUAGAAUAAUGAUGAUUAUCAUUCUAAUGAGAUCUAAAUUCUUAGAAAGCUUAAAACUAAAAUAGUUCCCAAUCGUUGGAUCACUAAAUUGGGGAUUAGUGAAUCCGGAUAGAUUGGUACAUACGUUGCUUGCUUAUAAGAUGAGGAUGAUUGAUCUCAUGAUCAUUUGUGUGGAGACACUAAAGCAAGUAUGUAGGUGCGUAUUGGAGAAUAAGUUCACUGAACGUGACUCGCUAAGGAAUACCUAAUGGAGUUUUACUUGCCUGUCAAUAGAAAUUCCUGUAGUGAUAGUAGUACAANNNNNNNNNNNNNNNNNNNNNNNNNNNNNNNNNNNNNNNNNNNNNNNNNNNNNNNNNNNNNNNNNNNNNNNNNNNNNNNNNNNNNNNNNNNNNNNNNNNNNNNNNNNNNNNNNNNNNNNNNNNNNNNNNNNNNNNNNNNNNNNNNNNNNNNNNNNNNNNNNNNNNNNNNNNNNNNNNNNNNNNNNNNNNNNNNNNNNNNNNNNNNNNNNNNNNNNNNNNNNNNNNNNNNNNNNNNNNNNNNNNNNNNNNNNNNNNNNNNNNNNNNNNNNNNNNNNNNNNNNNNNNNNNNNNNNNNNNNNNNNNNNNNNNNNNNNNNNNNNNNNNNNNNNNNNNNNNAAAAAAAAAAAUCCCAUUCGCGUGGCCUGUUUCGCUGAUCCGUGUUUUCACUGUUCCGGACAUAUUUCAUUCUUCAAAGAUUUGCCGAAUUGGUUUAGAUUAUAUAUAUGAUAUUAUAUAUAAUCAUAUUAAUGUGUUUAGAUGGUACUGGUGACCACGUGGCUUGUUUUUUUAUUUAUUUAUAAAACUGCAGGAUCACAAUUUUUUUUAAAAAAGGAGGAAUCAGUUUAAAAGUUUUUUUUUGUUUCCUUCAAAAACGUGACAUCAGGAGCAUUGGUAUGAUUACUAAUUAUCACUUUUUUUUGUUAACGUUUUUUUUAAAGGGAAUGGGCCACGUGAUUUUUUUUUAAAGGAAGGUACGGAUAUUAUAUAUAUAAAUAUAUAUAUAUAUAAUAUUUUAAUUAUUUAAUUAUUAAAAUAAAAAGUUUGUUUUAAUUUUAAAAAUAAAAAGUUUAUUUUUAAUAUUAAAAUAAAGAGUUUAUUUUAAUUUUAAAUUAGAAUUUCAUGCUAACUAAUUAGAGUUGGAAUUUGAUUCCAUGAUAACUAAUUAGAGUUGAAAUUGAAUUCUAUGUUUCCUUAAAUAAAGGAGUUUAUUUAGAUAUGAAAUAAGAUUUCAUAUUAUUCAAAAUAAAAUAGUUUAUUUGUAAAUAAGAAAGAGAAUCCUAAUUUCCUUAAAUAAAGGAGUUUAUUUAGAUAUGAAAUAAGAUUUCAUAUUAUUCAAAAUAAAGGAGUUUAUUUAGAUAUGAAAUAAGAUUUCAUAUUAUUCAAAAUAAAGGAGUUUAUUUGUGAAUAGGAAAGAGAAACCGUGUUUUCUUUAAUAAAGGAGUUUUAUUUUUUUUACUUGAAAUUGGAUUCCAUAAUUAAUUAAAAUAAAGGAGUUUAUUUUGAUUAAAUUUUUUGAUUAAAAUAAAAUAGUUUAUUUUAUUCAAAAUUGGAUAAAAUAAAAUAAAAUAGUUUUAUUUUGAUUUAAAUUUGGAUUAAAAUAAAGGAGUUUAUUUUGAUUCAAAAUUAGAUUUUAUACUAACUAAAUUUUGCCCAUUAAAUGAUAUCAAUAUAUAUAUUAAAUGUUUAUUAUUCAUGAGAUAAAUGUUAUUUAUUGAUGCAUAUGGUGAUGUGUAUGAUAAUAAAUGGGAUUGAUUAUGGACUAUUGACCAAUGUGAUUGGAUUUUAUUUUAGUUGGAUGCAUGAAUGUAUGAGUUUUAUUAAAUGGGAUCUGCGUACCUCGUCUUCUCUAAUUUUUUUUUAAUGUAAAUUCUAUCUCCCUCCUAUGUACUUCCCCUUGACUGUUGAUCAAUAUUUCUAUUUAUUUUUUUAAAAUAGUUUUGUAAUAGGAAUAGUUAGAAUUAAUUUUGAAGAAUUGGAGAUCAAGGAGCAAGGAGCGCGUGAAGACCCAUUUGUAAUGGAGCCUGGGUUUAAAUGUAAUAGUUAUAUUUAAAUAUUAAUUCUUGCACCCCUAGGGUUUAACCUUUUUGAUUCACUUGGUGGCUCUAAUGAACCAAACUAGAAUAAAAGUCUAUAAUCAAUCCAGGUAGAAUAUAGUAUUCUAUAUGUGCAUGCUUAUACUAUAUAUAUUAUAUAUUAUGCAAACAUGCUUCGCAUGUUCAUUAAUAUGACGCGUAUUUUAUAUAUAUAUGUGCAUGCGCGCUAAACAAGAUGAGACAAAUUAAUUACAAACCCCUCAAAGAUUUUAUAUUAAGUCCUAAGCGUUCAAAGAUAUUUGAAAUAUCGAAUGUCGCCUUCUAGCAUGAUAAAAUUAAUAGAGUAUUAAAUAUUUAAUAUGAGUUUGUUGUGUCACCACAAGGAAAGUAUUGAGUAUUUAAGAUGUUAAUUUAUCACAUUUGAUGCUUAUAAAGAAAAUUGAACAAUAUUAUUUUGUUGUGUCACCACAAGGAUGAUAUUUUUCUUUUUUGAAUAUAUGGAGUGCUAGGUUGGACUUAACUUGGAUAAUUUUGAUUCGGAUGUGCCACCACUUGAUCAAAAUAAUCUAAGAGGCAAAAUACAAGGAGUUGCAUAGUUGAUGUAAUUGACAAGAGUUGUCUACCUAUUUAUUUAUAUAUAGUUUGUUGUGUCACCACAAGGCUAUAUACAUUUGAAAUGAGAUCCUUAUUCUCACUAGAAUAUCUUUAAUUAGAUAUUGCUGAACUAUAUAUAUUGAGGGUAAUAUAGUUUGAAGAAA
rnacentral:lncRNA from 1 species